UGUGUGGUGUCAGGUCAUGCUAGAAAUAGCACAUCUUUUGAGGUGAAAUACGUUGAAUGCACUCGAAAAAUAUCUAUGGAAAAACAUUAUUUCACACCGAGAUUACGAACGGGUCUUUUACGAAAUAUUUACCGCAUCUUUAAAGUCAUUUUCACUUGAAAAUAUUUCUUAAUAUGCCGAAAAACAUUUUUGUAAUGGUAUUCUCUCGCAUAUAAUUU